GUAGGUGGCAAGCGUUGUCCGGGAAUUAUUGGGGCGUAAAGCGCGCGCAGGCGGUUCUUUAAGUCUGAUGUGAAAGCCCACGGGCUCAACCGUGGAGGGUCAUUGGAAACUGGAGAACUUGAGUACAGAAGAGGAAAGCGGAAUUCCACGUGUAGCGGUGAAAUGCGUAGAGAUGUGGAGGAACACCAGUGGCGAAGGCGGCUUUCUGGUCUGUAACUGACGCUGAGGCGCGAAAGCGUGGGGAGCAGACAGGAUUAGAUACCCUGGUAGUCCACGCCGUAAACGAUGAGUGCUAAGUGUUAGGGGGUUUCCGCCCCUUAGUGCUGCAGCUAACGCAUUAAGCACUCCGCCUGGGGAGUACGGCCGCAAAGGCUG
rnacentral:rRNA from 1 species